rnacentral:lncRNA from 1 species
GAUGGGUGCUGGUGAGGAAGCCAGUCGCAUAAGUAACGAGUGCAAAUAAAGCUGUAGAGGGGGCAUUGCCUCGUGUUAUGAAAGUAUCUUGCAAUAGGCGAUGGGGUAAGAAGUCCAAAGAGGAGGGUGACACAUUGGCAGGCUGUCUGGAACAAGCCGAGUCAAAGUCUGCCUGUGCGACUACAGCUCUGUCCAUUCUAAUUCCAAAUGUUCCAUCCUGGUUCUCCAGGCAAAAAGCCUUCAGAUAAGGAAAAGGGCCUGAUGGAGAUGCCACCUGGGGAUGGUCCAAGCACCAAACAAGCAAAAGAAAUGAUUGCUGUCAACGUAGGAAGGCCAAUGAUAGGAGGUUUUCAUUAAGGUUAUAAUCACCACCACCACUGCUUUUAUUCCCUCAGUCAUGUGUCUCUCCAGGAAAUAUUUAUAGAGAGCCUACCACGCUCCACGCCCUAUGCUAAAUGCUAGGACCCUGAAAGAGGUCCCCUGGGGCUCCAGGGUAGAAAUGGCAGGCUCUUGCAACACAAUUAGAAAAAAGCUCUGCUGUUAGAGAGAGGCUGUCACGUGCUGCCACAUAGUCCUCCCUGCAUGGAGGUGAUUGUGCCCUUGGGAGCCAGGAAAUGCCUCCAACAACAGGCGAGCUGGAUAGGCCCUUUGAGAGGUAGUCCAGCUCCCUCACUGUACAGAGAAGGAAGCCAUGGACCUGAAGUAUAGAAAAGAUAAACUGCAAAUCAAGACUACACGUGAUCAUGGUGCGGCUGUUCCCUGCAGAAAAGAACCAUCCUCUAUGGUGGCCUUGGUCAUUGCUGUGUGUGGCCAGCUGGAGCCAGGGUGACCCACAACCCUGGGAAGCAAAGGGAGAAAAUGAAGGCGCAGAGAAGGGUGGUAGGUUCCCGAAGGUCAGACAACAAGUCCACGGCAAAGCCAGAUAAAGAAAAUAGUUCUACUUUUCAAUUAAGAUCCUGAUCUGAAGUUAUCCAGGAGGCCAAGAAAUGCAUUAUCUUUCUUCCCUUCUGUCCCAGCUCGGCAGAUCUCUUUCUUGGCUUCUUGAUUAUUGGACAGAGUGAAUGUUUUCCUACCCUGUCUUUUCUGGAACUGAGCGUGGUCUGUUAGCAAUAAACCAGACUCUCCUCACUCUCCGGAACUCCA